rnacentral:rRNA from 1 species
AAUCAACGCUGGCGGCGUGCCUAACACAUGCAAGUCGAACGCGAAAGCCCGCAAGGGUAAGUAGAGUGGCGCACGGGUGAGUAACACGUGGACAACCUGCCUUCGAGUGGGGAAUAACCUUCCGAAAGGAGGGCUAAUACCGCAUAACACCUCGGGACACAAGUUCUGGGGUUGAAAAGAGCAAUUUGCUCGAAGAGGGGUCCGCGCCUGAUUAGCUAGUUGGUGAGGUAACGGCUCACCAAGGCUUCGAUCAGUAGCCGUCCUGAGAGGGAGCACGGCCACACUGGAACUGAGACACGGUCCAGACUCCUACGGGAGGCAGCAGUGGGGAAUUUUGGCAAUGGGCGAAAGCCUGACCAAGCAACGCCGCGUGGGUGAUGAAGUAUCUUGGUACGUAAAACCCUUUCGGCAGGGACGAACCUAAUGACGGUACCUGCGGAAGAAGCCCCGGCUAACUCCGUGCCAGCCGCCGCCGUAAU